rnacentral:rRNA from 1 species
AGAGUCUGAUCAUGGCUCAGGACGAACGCUGGCGGCGUGCUUAACACAUGCAAGUCGAACGAGGUCCAUCCAGUGGAAACACCGGAGAAGACCUAGUGGCGAACGGGUGAGUAACACGUGAGCAACCUGCCCCGAAGACCGGGAUAACAGCGGGAAACCGCUGCUAAUACCGGAUGCCCCCAUCGGACCACAUGGCCUGA